AGGUGUAGUAGAUGUAGUAGGUGUAGUAGAUGUAGUAGGUGUAGUAGGUGUAGUAGAUGUAGUAGGUGUAGUAGAUGUAGUAGGUGUAGUAGGUGUAGUAGAUGUAGUAGGUGUAGUAG